rnacentral:snoRNA from 1 species
UUUCAAAAGUGAGAGCAGAGACAGUAAUUGCAGUGAUAGAAGUGUAUUUACUUUAUUCACUACUGGCGCUGGCCAUCCUAUCCUAGUAGAAGG